rnacentral:rRNA from 1 species
CGCGUAGGCGGCCUGCCAAGUCAGAUGUGAAAUCCCACGGCUCAACCGUGGACGUGCAUCUGAAACUGGUAGGCUUGAGUACUGGAGAGGAGUGUGGAAUUCCUGGUGUAGAGGUGAAAUUCGUAGAUAUCAGGAGGAAUACCGGUGGCGAAGGCGACACUCUGGACAGAUACUGACGCUGAGGCGCGAAAGCGUGGGGAGCAAACA